rnacentral:rRNA from 1 species
UACGGGGGGGGCAAGCGUUGUUCGGAAUUACUGGGCGUAAAGGGCUCGUAGGCGGCCAACUAAGUCAGACGUGAAAUCCCUCGGCUUAACCGGGGAACUGCGUCUGAUACUGGAUGGCUAGAGUUUGGGAGAGGGAUGCGGAAUUCCAGGUGUAGCGGUGAAAUGCGUAGAUAUCUGGAGGAACACCGGUGGCGAAGGCGGCAUCCUGGACCAACACUGACGCUGAGGAGCGAAAGCGUGGGUAGCAAACAGG